AAGGAUCUACAACGAGACCAACAUCGACGCCGGCUACGCGGCGUCGCUCAGGGCCAACUGCCCGCCGACGGCCGGCACCGGCGACAGCAACCUGGCGGCGCUGGACACGACGACGCCCUACUCCUUCGACAACGCCUACUACAGCAACCUGCUGUCCAACAAGGGGCUCCUGCACUCCGACCAGGUGCUCUUCAACGGCAACAGCACGGACAACACGGUCAGGAACUUCGCCUCCAACAGGGCGGCGUUCAGCAGCGCCUUCUCGUCGGCCAUGGUGAAGAUGGCCAACCUCGGACCACUCACCGGGAGCCAGGGACAGAUCAGGCUUAGCUGCUCCAAAGUGAACUAAUAAUUAAGUAAAGAAUCAAACUGGAUACAAAAGCAAACACAAAUUUGGGAAUAAGGCUGGGCCAUAUAUGUCACAGUAGUAGUAUUUUACUAGUCUGAAAUGUUUGCUAAGAGUGUUUUCUCUGAUCAGCACAAAGUGUUUGAAACAGAUCAGGAAGCCCAUGUUAUGUACCGAUCAGUAUGGUUUUGAAGUUAUCAAGGAAUGCAUGAAUGAUAAUCUCUAACUGUCCCUUGCUUCAAUAUGUUUGGCUGCUAGGGGCAUUUUAGUUUGAUGCCCUCAAUCUUAAUGACAUUCGGAUGGCCCUUUCUUCGGCCAUCCUGGCCAAAAAAUAAUUAAAAAAAGGUUUAACGCCUAUCAAAAUACUAAUAGUCACAAAUGAAGACACAUGAUAGAAAUAGCACAAUUUUCAAUGUACAAGGUGUAUACAUAUUACACUGCACCAUCCUAGGAAAAUAUACAGUGAAAACCACCUAUUUGAUGAAAACUAUCGUAUAAAAGUCUUUAAGAAAAUCACAUAUCUAGAUAAGAUGAUAUUAAAGAACCAUAUAAAAUUGCACGACCAAAUUCAACUUCGUUCAUGAGAUAUAAAAUUAUCAAAUGUCUAUGAAAAAACAUAAUUCCUAUUUUUUUGUCUUGUUCUUCACUACUUUUCAUUCAUACAACUCAUAAAUAAAGUCGAGUUUGGUCUUGCAAUAUUGUACAAAACCUCCGUUUUUUAAUAGAUAACGCCGGUGGCUUUUUAUCACACGUUUGAGCAUUCGCCUUUAUUUUAAAAAAAUUAUGUUAUUAUAAUUUAUUUUGUUGUGAGUUGUUUUAUCACUCAAAUUACUUUAAGCAUGAUUUAUAUAUUAUACAUUUGCAUAAAAUUUUUGAAUAAUACGAAUGGUCAAAUAUGUGUUCAAAAGUUAACGGCGUCAUCUAUUAAAAAGGAGUAUAAUUCUCAAAUAUCAUCUUAUCUAUAUGUGUCAAUUUUUUUUAGAUUUUCUUGAUAAUUUUUAUGAUGUUACUUACAUAGUUUUUACCGUUGUGAUUUUCACCGUAUAUUUAUCCAUAAACCAGAGCCGUUGUGCCUAAGCAUAUAGGUCAAACUAGAGAUGAUCCAGAAUAAAGCCUAGACAGUUGAGGCAACAACUGGUGGUCAUUUUCCUUGGACUGGGAGAGCAAAAUGGUUGCAUAACGGUCAGAGCAAGAUAGAAUUGUAUUUGGACAAAUGCGGACCUUUUGUACGUAAUCAGUCAUGAUCAUGAUGGACCUACAUGUUGAUGUCCAGCUAGCUACACGAAAAUGACGUGCCAUUAUAUAGCUGCUGUUAUAUAUUACUCUAUUAAUUACUCCAUAAUUAAUCAUACUCGCCUACUAGCAUGGCUCUUUCCGAUCCAGAGCUUAUUUAAUUUGUCUGUUCUAGCUCAUCCAUGAUAUAAUAUGUAGUAUACUAUAAGUAACCAAAAUGUAUCACCAAACAUACCUAGAUUAGCAAUUUAGUGUAUCAAGGAAAAUUUAGCACGUCUCUGUGCCUUCAGUCUUCAGUAUCAUGAGAUACCAAAUUUACACUAAAAUUUGAUAUUUCUUGAUAUCUAUUAGGGACGAAAAUUUCUCGUCUCGAAUAUUAAAAAAUUUGGUACCUCUCAAAAACUAUAAAAUUUCUUGUCUUCAAUAUCACCAUAUUUAGCGAUUAAUCAACUUUUUUUAAUCAUCCGCAUAUUACACUCGACGAUGAUUUUUUUAAAAAAAUCUUGUGGGACUUUGUUUAUGUUUUGUUGCAAUUUUUUAUGUUCUACUUAUCCAAUAUAAACCUUGUCACUAUUUGUGUAUAACUGCAAGUGUUGGAAGUUAUAUUUUAAGUUAAUGUCAAGUUAUGGCUUUCAAUUGAAAAACAACACUAAUAUAUUCUGAUUUUGUUGUUGUAUACAUUUAAAUCUCAAAAGAAGGCCAUAAUAUUGUAAGAUGUGCACAUAUAUAUUCAUGAACGCCAAAUUUCCGUAUAAUUCUGACUAACAAUCAUAUUUCGUCUUUCACAGUACUGAUUGUAUGUAUUAUAUAGUGCUAUGUGUGCGUGUGCGUCUUCUGAUGAGCCUAGAAAGGCAACUUGCCAAGGGGAUUGAGCCAUAAUUUGCGGGAUGCAUGUAUAAUGUAUUCCAGCUUAUCAUGCCAUGGCGCACCAGGAAGAAAAAUCUGCCGUCCGACGCAUGCCGCCUGUUUAUCUUGACCAACAACAGCACAAUGGGCUAAUUAAUCAGCAACCAUUCCGAAUCAUACAUAUAUCAUAUUCAUGCUGCAAAUAUUGUAUACGUCCGGAGAGAGAUGUAUCGAACAGGCCCUACACUGAAUGAGUGAUAUACAGAGUUGGUGUUGGAUGUAGCAAUUUAAGUCUGACGCUAUCACAACUGCCGGAUGGGGGCAUGUAUGCAGAUGACGAAACUUCUAUUGUUCAGGUUGAACGUCUUGUACGUACGCUUGUAUGCCAAUGUGGACAAGUUGGACUUGGUGGUCACAAAGUUUGGAUGUUUAUAUCCCUACAAGAGUGGCAUGCUCGUGGCAGCGUACAAAAUCUCUGGCUAUAAAUAUGCAUGCAAUGCAGCAAUCUCUUGCAAGCCACAACGGCCAAGCAGAAAGUGCAAUUAGCCUGCAGGCAGCUAAUCAGUAGUAGCUUGCUAGCCAUGGCUUCUGCAACUAAUUCUUCACUUAGCUUAAUGCUGCUGGUGGCUGCAGCUAUGGCGUCAGUGGCAUCGGCGCAGCUCUCGGCGACGUUCUAUGACACGUCGUGCCCCAAUGCGUUGUCCACCAUCAAGAGCGUCAUAACAGCCGCCGUGAACAGCGAGGCUCGCAUGGGGGCGUCGCUGCUCAGGCUGCACUUCCACGACUGCUUCGUCCAAGCAAGUUUCACACAACCAAUUGUACUAAUUUUCAUGAAAUUAUAGUAUAUUUCGGACGAGAAAAUAACAGAGAACAUAUAUCUAAAAUCACUGCAGGGGUGCGACGCGUCAGUUCUGCUGUCCGGGCAGGAGCAGAAUGCUGGCCCGAACGUGGGGUCGCUGAGGGGAUUCAGCGUCAUCGACAACGCCAAGGCGCGGGUGGAGGCCAUCUGCAACCAGACCGUCUCCUGCGCCGACAUCCUCGCCGUCGCCGCCCGUGACUCCGUCGUCGCGGUAAGAAUGUCACAGCCCUUCGAUCGCCCGUGACUUUCUUUCUGUUGUUCUUUCACUGAUAGAGCUAGCUCCCUCUUGGUUCGCAGCUGGGAGGGCCAUCAUGGACGGUUCUGUUGGGGAGAAGGGACUCCACCACUGCAAGCGAGGCCUUGGCAAAUACCGACCUCCCUGCCCCUUCCUCUAGCCUCGCAGAACUUAUCGGCAAUUUCUCCAGAAAGGGACUCGACGCAACCGACAUGGUUGCUCUCUCAGGUAAUCCGAUAUGGAGUAUUAUAUACGAGUAUAUAUAUAGAUAGAUUAGGAUACCAUGUAUAUAUGUGUUGCAGAUUUUCUGAUAAGAUGAGAGCGCGAUUAAUUAUUUCGCAGGAGCACACACGAUCGGGCAGGCGCAGUGCCAGAAUUUCAGGGACAGGAUCUACAACGAGACCAACAUCGAUUCCGCCUUCGCGACGCAACGCCAGGCCAACUGCCCACGGCCGACGGGCAGCGGCGACAGCAACCUGGCGCCGCUGGACACGACGACGCCCAACGCCUUCGACAACGCCUACUACAGCAACCUGCUGUCCAACAAGGGGCUCCUGCACUCCGACCAGGUGCUCUUCAACGGCGGCAGCGCGGACAACACGGUCAGGAACUUCGCGUCCAACGCGGCGGCGUUCAGCAGCGCCUUCACGACGGCCAUGGUGAAGAUGGGGAACAUCUCGCCGCUGACCGGGACGCAGGGGCAGAUCAGGCUCAGCUGCUCCAAGGUGAACUCCUAAUUAAGGAGUAGUAUGACGGGAUGCGUUCGUUGCUGGAAGCAAAUCGUGUCGACGACGACAUAAACGGGCCACACCACAUAUACCCAUAUAUGUAGUAUAACCACAAGUAUAGGUACGGUGGUGUUGUACUAGUACACGUAAAGUAUAUGGCAGCCAGCUCGCUCUAGCAAUCCAUCAAGUGUAUGGAGCAGAGCAGCCAUGGCAUUAGCACCUAGUAUACCAAAAUAAAAGCUCCUCAUGCGAAGGCAUGCAUGGAGGAUUAAUGAACUGUUACCUUCACACACAUGUCCGUUCACAACUUCUCCAGACUUUUACGGUACAUCAAGCUCCGUUUUUUCAAGUAAACAACACUAGAUUAUGUUUUUUCAUUAGAUAGAGAAAAAAUAAAUACAACCUGCCCCUAGGAGCGAAAAAAAGAAGAAGAAAAAGCCCGUCUUUACAAAUUAUAUACUGAUAGGUAAUAACUCUCUAAGUCAUUUUGUUCCUGCCAUAGUCCAAGUCUUCUUCCUCUAUUUUUGCUAGGAGGGUUAUUGUCGUGGUCUCCUUGUUAGAAAUUUUGUUGGUUCCUCUCCUUCCGUAUCUUCUAGACGACAAGGAGAAUUAGGGAGCGCAAUCCCCGCUUUGGCAUAAAUGUCGUGUUUGGCACACACAUUGAUAGGGGUGGCUAACAAGCCGACUCGGCUCGACUCGUAAAAACUCAUUAAGUUAAUGAGCUAGCUUGGCUCGACUCGUUAACAUAACGAGUUAAAAAUGGAACUCGACUCGACUCAUUAAAAAGUCCGAGUUGACUCAUUAAACGUGUUACACCAAAAAACAUGGUUUGAAAUUCAUAUGCAAUAUAAUUUGUGAUUCUAUGACAAAAAUUAUGAUUGGCGUGCUAUGUAUCAUGGCUCAUAAGAUUGUACUACAAUGUAUAAUUAUGAGUAUAUGACUUUUACACCUGUAAAAUAUGAACAAUUAACUUCUAUCUUAGUGUAUCAUGAGCUCAACGAGCUAAUCGAGUAACUCACGAGCUAGCUCGAGUUGGCUCGUUAAGUAAACGAGUAAAAGUUCAAACUCAUUAACUACUCGAGUUAAGUCGAGCCGAGCCGAGUUUUACACAAGUUGAGCUAGCUCGUAAGUUCGAUUUUUUUUCCACCCCUGCACAUCGAGCUCUGUUUCGCUAUUGAUGUUGGUUGACACGGUGAACUUUGACUCUUUGAGUAUCAAUUAUCAAACGGUGUACUCCUACCGUCUUACGUGCCAUUGCCAUCCCGCGCGGCCGCACCGUCCCAAACUCCCACCGACGCAAGCAAGCGCCGCCCUUCCGCUUGGGCCGUUUUACGCCCGAAUGGUCCGAGACCUACCUAUUGGGCCUUUGGACCGUGUGACGCCACAUUUCGCUCGCAGUGUCUGUCAGACCAGGGAUGGUGGCCCGUGGGCGCUGAGCAGGCCGGCCUUUCAUUUAGUUCGUGUCACCUGUAGGCGGCUAGGCCGGAGGGAAACUAACGUACACUUUUGUUGUUAUUUAUAACUUUAUCGACUAUAAAUUUUGAUAAGCAACAAAUCAAACAUGCCAUAAUCAAUUAGGCAAAAUUCAGUAAUUUACCUUAGCAAAAUUUAGUAAUGGAAAAAUUAGGAAAAACUAAAGUUAUAUUCCCUCCUCCUCAAAAAGAAUACAAUUUUAGAUUUUAAAUUUAUUCCAACAUAUAACGUACUCUAUAGUAUUGCUUUUUCGUCCAACCACCACUCAUUCACCCAUAUAUUACUAACCUAGCUACUCCACCAUUCCCAACUGUCCCUCAUUUGAUGAGUGGUCGAGUAUUUUUCCUAUACUAUACUAGUUUGUCUUUUAAAUAUUACAAUUGUAUUUUUCUUUUUUAGAAUUGAGGUAGUAAAUUUGUAAACAAAGUGAACAGGCCACCAACCUACUAGGUGGACCACUGUACACGAUAAUAUUAUUUGUGCUAUUGUGUUUAUUUUAAUCUAAGUUGCAAAUCAAGAGAGUAUUUUAUUUCAUUCAAAAAGGAAUAAUUUGUGAAACACUCAGCAACUGUAUAAUAUUAGCCGUGAAACUCGGUUAACCAUAAUUUUUUUUCAAAGGAACUAUACGAUAAUUUAAUUAUUUUACUAUCCGCAUUUUAUGGCUUAAGAAACAAGAGUAACAUACGGCACAUGCAACAACCACCAUUCUAGCUAGAGCUAGAAAUGUCGGCCCAACUUGUGAUAGCUAAUUACGUUCGAAUGGAAAAUCAUAUCACCAACAUGCAUGGUUUAAUCAUGGCAACGCUGAUGCGAAAGCUCUCGCAGAUCUAUUAUUUUUUCCCUGGAGAUUGAUCGAAAAUGAUGGCACAACGGUAUGUAAUGCUAUAACAGCAUAUAUUGUCUUGUAACACACCGUUUGCACUUAAAUUAGACAAUUAGUCCGAACGUACAUAAGAAGAUGAAUUGCGAUAGACCAUUCUAGCUCGUCACGAGCUGAAUAGUUCUCGCACUAUUAUACCCGAGAUCAAUUAGCAGAGUAUUAAUAAGGUAAAGUUAUUUUCAUAAACUCUGUACGACGAUAGUGCAUACAUACCAAUCUUUAACAAAGGGACAAAUUAUCGACGGCAUUUGUAUGUUCAUGUGCUAUUCUAUGGCACGGGUGCUCUUUUUUUUUGGCUUAAGCAACGCGUGAUUAAUGGUUAACAGAUUAAGGUCAAGCGAAAUGGACCGAACUGACCCUACAUUGCAUGAAUAAUGCAGAGGUGAUGAUGUUGGCCGUAGGCCGUACGUAGAAACUUAUGUUGGACACACAUGUAAGUACUAGUAGUCUAGUAGCACUAAUAAAGUUAACUAAUAAAUUAUAUAUGAUGUCACUUUAAAAAAUACAGAUUCAAAUUCGAUAUAUUGAAGUUGAACAAAUUAAAUUCUAGCUAGUUAGUAUGCACACAUUCACACUCAUAUUUGUUUUUGUGUUGUAAUUUAUAGAAGUUAAAAUUCAACUUGCAAUUUGUUAGUAAAAACAUAACUAUUUAGAUGACUAGAAACAUAUCCUUCUGUUGUAAUGUGCCAGGCUCAUAUAAGUAGAAAUAUGCUAUUAGAAAAUUAGAGAUAGUACUCUGUGCGUGGUGGGAGGAGGGAUGAAAAAAUGACGAGUUCGAUUUUAAGGUAGUAGAGAUAUGUACAAAGCAAUAGGAUAUUCCUAUUGAGAUUAAAAUACAUUCCCCUGCCCAGCUCCCCUCGUAUGAUUAAUGUACCUGCAUAUUUCGUCUCAUCUCGGCACCAAUCGAUGGCGUCAAGCCUGUAGCUAAGCUAGCUAUAUAAGAUGCAGCGUGGCACCAGCCUCUCUUGCAAGCCACGGCCAGCGAAAAAGCUUAAAAAAAACUGCAGUUAUUUAGGUAGGAUUAAGCAUACGCGCACGGCGCAUCAUAUCGCUCACUCUGCAUGGCUUCGGCUUCUUCUGUCAGCUUAAUGCUGCUCGUGGCUGCAGCUAUGGCCUCAGCCGCCUCGGCGCAGCUGUCGGCGACGUUCUACGACACGUCGUGCCCAAACGCAUUGUCCACCAUCAAGAGCGCAGUGACGGCCGCCGUGAACAGCGAGCCCCGAAUGGGAGCCUCGCUGGUCAGGCUGCACUUCCACGACUGCUUCGUCCAAGCAAGUUUUGAUCACCUAAUCUAAUCAGCUGUACAAGUAGUUCUCCUUAGACUGUACUUUGAGACAAGGAAAUUAAUAACAGAGGAUGUAUCUAUGGACUUCACUGAUGAUGCAGGGCUGUGACGCGUCUGUUCUGCUGUCCGGCCAGGAGCAGAAUGCAGGCCCGAACGCUGGGUCACUUCGGGGAUUCAACGUCGUCGACAACAUCAAGACGCAGGUCGAGGCCAUCUGCAGCCAGACCGUCUCCUGCGCCGACAUCCUCGCCGUCGCCGCCCGUGACUCCGUCGUCGCGGUAAGAUCACGGAUGAGAUUACUACAUGAUGCAUAUAUUUCUUGUAGACUGUAGUAGUACGUACUCCUAAUCGCUCUUGGUUUGGUUUGGAAUCCUUAUAUUUGCAGCUCGGAGGGCCGUCGUGGACGGUUCUAUUGGGAAGAAGGGACUCCACCACUGCGAACGAAAGCCAAGCAAAUACCGACCUCCCUGCCCCUUCCUCUAGCCUCGCUGAACUUAUCGGCAAUUUCUCCAGAAAGGGACUCGACGUAACCGACAUGGUUGCUCUCUCAGGUACAUAUAUAUGUACACAGAUUAUAUCAGUGAUUGAUUCUCUUACAAAUUUUCUGAUAAGAAUCAUAAUACGAUGAGAACUUGCAGGCGCACACACGAUCGGGCAGGCGCAGUGCCAGAACUUCAGGGACAGGCUCUACAACGAGACAAACAUCGACUCCAGCUUCGCGACGGCGCUCAAGGCCAACUGCCCACGGCCGACGGGCAGCGGCGACAGCAACCUGGCGCCGCUGGACACGACGACGCCCAACGCCUUCGACAGCGCCUACUACACCAACCUGCUGUCCAACAAGGGCCUCCUGCACUCCGACCAGGUGCUCUUCAACGGCGGCAGCACGGACAACACGGUCAGGAACUU
rnacentral:lncRNA from 1 species